rnacentral:rRNA from 1 species
UUCUUCAAAAUUAAAGAUUUUGGCGGUAUUUUAGUCUAUUCAGAGGAAUCUGUUCUAUAAAUGAUAUUCCACGAUAAGUUAAAUUUUUAUUAAAAUUUUUAUAUCGUUGUAAUAAAAUAUUUUUGAAGAAUAAAAAUAUUAAUAAUUUUUAUUAAAAAAUAAAUCAAAUCAAGAUGAAGUUUAUAUAAAAGAAGAAAUGGAUUACAAUAAAAAAAUUUAUAUAGAAAGUUAAUUUAAAGUUAAUAUAAAAGUGGAUUUGAAAGUAAUUUUAAAUUAUUUUUUAAAAUGAUUUUAGCUAUAAAAUAUGUACAUAUUGCCCGUCGCUUUCACUUUAAAGUGAAAUAAGUCGUAACAAAGUAGAUGUACUGGAAAGUGUAUCUAGAAACAGAUUAGAGCUUGAUAAAAGUAUUUUAUUUACAUUAAAAAGUUAAUUGUGAAAUUCAAUUUAGUUUGAUUUAAUUUAAUUAUUAAUUUUAUUAGGAAUUAGAUUAUUUAAAAAAAAAAAUUUAAUUUUAUUAAAAAUUUUGAAAAAAUUUUAUUUUAUAAUAAAUUAGUAUUGAGAAAGAAUUUUAUUUAAAAGUUAAAAAGGAAAAUAAUUUUGUACCUUCUGUAUCAGGGUUUAUUUAGAUAUAAAUUUAUUAUAAAAUUUUCUCGAAUUAAAAAGAGUUAAAUUUAUAUAAAUAUUAUUGUGAAAUAAUUAUUUAAAAUAUAAGUUUAGAAAUGAAAUGUUAUUCGUUUUUAAGAUAUCUAGUUUUAAGAGAAAAAAAUUCAAUUUUUUGAUAAUAAAAAUAUAUUUAAUUGUAAAAUCAUAUUUUAAUUAUUUGAAAUUUAUUUAGGGAUGAGCUUAAAUAAAAAAAUUUAUAAUUUAUAAAUUAAUAGUGAAUUUUAGGAUUAGAAUUGUUUAUAAAUAAAAGAAUGUAAUAAUUGAUUUAUAAGGGGAUAAAAUUUAUAUAUAAAUUUAAAUAUUUUAUUUUAAAUUUGAAUUUAAUGAUAAAAUUUAAUUUAUAAUGAUAAAAUUAGUAUAAUUAAAAAUUUAAAUAGUUAAAUUUUAGAUAAUUAAAAGGAAUUCGGCAAAAUAAUUUUUUACCUGUUUAUUAAAAACAUGUCUUAUAGAAAAUAAUUUUAAGUCGGCCCUGCCCUCUGAGUAUUAAAUGGCCGCGGUAUUUUGACCGUGCGAAGGUAGCAUAAUCAUUAGUUUUUUAAUUGAAAGCUGGAAUGAAGGGGUUAAUAAAAAAAUUACUGUCUCUUAUUUAAUAUUUAAGAAUUUUAUUUUAAAGUAAAAAAGCUUUAAUAAUUUUAAAAGACGAUAAGACCCUGUAGAGUUUAAUAUAAAAAUAUUUUAUAAAAGAGGAAUUAU